UUUUAUUUGAGAGUUUGAUCCUGGCUCAGGAUGAACGCUGGCGGCGUGCCUAACACAUGCAAGUUGAGCGAUUUACUUCGGUAAAGAGCGGCGGACGGGUGAGUAACGCGUGGGUAACCUACCCUGUACACACGGAUAACAUACCGAAAGGUAUGCUAAUACGGGAUAAUAUAUUUGAGAGGCAUCUCUUAAAUAUCAAAGGUGAGCCAGUACAGGAUGGACCCGCGUCUGAUUAGCUAGUUGGUAAGGUAACGGCUUACCAAGGCAACGAUCAGUAGCCGACCUGAGAGGGUGAUCGGCCACAUUGGAACUGAGACACGGUCCAAACUCCUACGGGAGGCAGCAGGGGGGAAUAUUGCACAAUGGGCGAAAGCCUGAUGCAGCAACGCCGCGUGAGUGAUGAAGGCCUUCGGGUCGUAAAACUCUGUCCUCAAGGAAGAUAAGGACGGUACGAGAGGAGGAAGCCCCGGCUAA
rnacentral:rRNA from 1 species